AGUGAACGCUGGCGGUAGGCCUAACACAUGCAAGUCGAACGGCAGCACAGUAAGAGCUUGCUCUUACGGGUGGCGAGUGGCGGGCGGGUGAGGAAUACAUCGGAAUCUACUUUUUCGUGGGGGAUAACGUAGGGAAACUUACGCUAAUACCGCAUACGACCUACGGGUGAAAGCAUGGGAUCUUCGGACCUUGCGCGAUUGAAUGAGCCGAUGUCGGAUUAGCUAGUUGGCGGGGUAAAGGCCCACCAAGGCGACGAUCCGUAGCUGGUCUGAGAGGAUGAUCAGCCACACUGGAACUGAGACACGGUCCAGACUCCUACGGGAGGCAGCAGUGGGGAAUAUUGGACAAAGGGCGCAAGCCUGAUCCAGCCAUACCGCGUGGGUGAAGAAGGCCUUCGGGUUGUAAAGCCCUUUUGUUGGGAAAGAAAAGCAGCAGGUUAAUACCCCGCUGUUCUGACGGUACCCAAAGAAUAAGCACCGGCUAACUUCGUG
rnacentral:rRNA from 1 species